GGGUUGUGAGGUUAAGCGAAUAAGCGUACACGGUGGAUGCCUAGGCAAUCAGAGGCGAUGAAGGACGUGCUAAUCUGCGAAAAGCGUCGGUAAGGUGAUAUGAACCGUUAUACCCGACGAUAUCCGAAUGGGGAAACCCAGUAUCCAAUGGAUACUAUCAUUAACUGAAUCCAUAGGUUAAUGAGGCGAACCGGGAGAACUGAAACAUCUCAGUACCCCGAGGAAAAGAAAUCAACCGAGAUUCCCCUAGUAGCGGCGAGCGAACGGGGAGCAGCCCAGAGUCUUAAUCAAUAACAGUGUCAGGAGAACGGUCUGGAAAGUCCGGCAGUAAAGGGUGAUAGCCCCGUAUCUGAAGAUGCUGUUAUUGUGAACUCGACGAGUAGGGCGGGACACGUGUUAUCCUGUCUGAAUAUGGGGGGACCAUCCUCCAAGGCUAAAUACUCCUGAUUGACCGAUAGUGAACCAGUACCGUGAGGGAAAGGCGAAAAGAACCCCGGCGAGGGGAGUGAAAAAGAACCUGAAACCGUGUACGUACAAGCAGUAGGAGCCUCUUUAUGGGGUGACUGCGUACCUUUUGUAUAAUGGGUCAGCGACUUAUAUUCUGUAGCAAGGUUAACCGUAUAGGGGAGCCGUAGGGAAACCGAGUCUUAACUGGGCGAAUGAGUUGCAGGGUAUAGACCCGAAACCCGGUGAUCUAUCCAUGGGCAGGUUGAAGGUUGGGUAACACUAACUGGAGGACCGAACCGACUAAUGUUGAAAAAUUAGCGGAUGACUUGUGGAUGGGGGUGAAAGGCCAAUCAAACCGGGAGAUAGCUGGUUCUCCCCGAAAGCUAUUUAGGUAGCGCCUCGUGAAUUCAUCUUCGGGGGUAGAGCACUGUUUCGACUAGGGGGUCAUCCCGACUUACCAACUCGAUGCAAACUGCGAAUACCGAAGAAUGUUAUCGCGGGAGACACACGGCGGGUGCUAACGUCCGUCGUGAAGAGGGAAACAACCCAGACCGCCAGCUAAGGUCCCAAAGUCAUGGUUAAGUGGGAAACGAAGUGGGAAGGCUCAGACAGCCAGGAUGUUGGCUUAGAAGCAGCCAUCAUUUAAAGAAAGCGUAAUAGCUCACUGGUCGAGUCGGCCCGCGCGGAAGAUGUAACGGGGCUAAACCAUGCACCGAAGCUGCGGCAGCGACACAUAGUGUUGUUGGGUAGGGGAGCGUUCUGUAAGCCUGCGAAGGUGUACUGUGAGGUAUGCUGGAGGUAUCAGAAGUGCGAAUGCUGACAUAAGUAACGAUAAUGCGGGUGAAAAACCCGCACGCCGGAAGACCAAGGGUUCCUGUCCAACGUUAAUCGGGGCAGGGUGAGUCGACCCCUAAGGCGAGGCUGAAAAGCGUAGUCGAUGGGAAACGGGUUAAUAUUCCCGUACUGGUGGUAACUGCGAUGGGGGAACGGAGAAGGCUAGGUUGUCCGGGCGACGGUCGUCCCGGUUCAAGCAGGUAGGCAGAGUGAUUAGGCAAAUCCGGUCACUUAAUGCUGAGAUGUGAUGACGAACCACUAAGGUGGUGAAGCAAUUGAUGCCCCGCUUCCAGGAAAAGCCUCUAAGCUUCAGGUUACCAACAAUCGUACCCCAAACCGACACAGGUGGUCAGGUAGAGAAUACUCAGGCGCUUGAGAGAACUCGGGUGAAGGAACUAGGCAAAAUGGUGCCGUAACUUCGGGAGAAGGCACGCUGGCGGUAGGUAAAGUCCCUCGCGGACAGAGCUGAAGCCAGUCGAAGAUACCAGCUGGCUGCAACUGUUUAUUAAAAACACAGCACUGUGCAAACACGAAAGUGGACGUAUACGGUGUGACGCCUGCCCGGUGCUGGAAGGUUAAUUGAUGGGGUCAGCCGUAAGGCGAAGCUCCUGAUCGAAGCCCCAGUAAACGGCGGCCGUAACUAUAACGGUCCUAAGGUAGCGAAAUUCCUUGUCGGGUAAGUUCCGACCUGCACGAAUGGCGUAAUGAUGGCCAGGCUGUCUCCACCCGAGACUCAGUGAAAUUGAACUCGCUGUGAAGAUGCAGUGUACCCGCGGCAAGACGGAAAGACCCCGUGAACCUUUACUAUAGCUUGACACUGAACAUUGAGCCUUGAUGUGUAGGAUAGGUGGGAGGCUUUGAAGUGUGGACGCCAGUCUGCAUGGAGCCAACCUUGAAAUACCACCCUUUAACGUUUGAUGUUCUAACCUAGGCCCAUAAACUGGGUCGGGGACCGUGUCUGGUGGGUAGUUUGACUGGGGCGGUCUCCUCCUAAAGAGUAACGGAGGAGCACGAAGGUUGGCUAAGCAUGGUCGGACAUCAUGCGGUUAGUGCAAAGGCAUAAGCCAGCUUGACUGCGAGAGUGACGGCUCGAGCAGGUACGAAAGUAGGUCUUAGUGAUCCGGUGGUUCUGAAUGGAAGGGCCAUCGCUCAACGGAUAAAAGGUACUCCGGGGAUAACAGGCUGAUACCGCCCAAGAGUUCAUAUCGACGGCGGUGUUUGGCACCUCGAUGUCGGCUCAUCACAUCCUGGGGCUGAAGUAGGUCCCAAGGGUAUGGCUGUUCGCCAUUUAAAGUGGUACGCGAGCUGGGUUUAGAACGUCGUGAGACAGUUCGGUCCCUAUCUGCCGUGGGCGUUGGAAGAUUGAGAGGGGUUGCUCCUAGUACGAGAGGACCGGAGUGAACGCACCACUGGUGUUCGGGUUGUCAUGCCAAUGGCAUUGCCCGGUAGCUAAGUGCGGAAGAGAUAACCGCUGAAAGCAUCUAAGCGGGAAACUUGCCUCGAGAUGAGUCUUCCCUGUCGCUUUAAGCGACCUAAAGGAACGUUUAAGACUAAGACGUUGAUAGGCUGGGUGUGUAAGCGUAGCGAUACGUUGAGCUAACCAGUACUAAUGAACCGUGAGGCUUAACCUGACAACACCGAAAGUGUUUUG
rnacentral:rRNA from 1 species